GAUGAACGCUGGCGGCGUGCCUAAUACAUGCAAGUCGAGCGAACAGAUGAGGAGCUUGCUCCUCUGACGUUAGCGGCGGACGGGUGAGUAACACGUGGAUAACCUACCUAUAAGACUGGGAUAACUUCGGGAAACCGGAGCUAAUACCGGAUAAUAUAUUUAACCGCAUGGUUCAAUAGUGAAAGACGGUUUUGCUGUCACUUAUAGAUGGAUCCGCGCCGCAUUAGCUAGUUGGUAAGGUAACGGCUUACCAAGGCAACGAUGCGUAGCCGACCUGAGAGGGUGAUCGGCCACACUGGAACUGAGACACGGUCCAGACUCCUACGGGAGGCAGCAGUAGGGAAUCUUCCGCAAUGGGCGAAAGCCUGACGGAGCAACGCCGCGUGAGUGAUGAAGGUCUUCGGAUCGUAAAACUCUGUUAUUAGGGAAGAACAAAUGUGUAAGUAACUAUGCACGUCUUGACGGUACCUAAUCAGAAAGCCACGGCUAACUACGUG
rnacentral:rRNA from 1 species